GACGAACGCUGGCGGCGUGCCUAAUACAUGCAAGUCGAACGCAGUGGGGACGGGUGAGUAACACGUGCGUAACCUCCCCAUCAGAGGGGAUAACACUUGGAAACAGGUGCUAAACCGAUACUGAUGGAUGGACCCGCGGUGCAUUAGCUAGUUGGUGAGGUAAAGGCUCACCAAGUCCACGAUGCAUAGCCGGCCUGAGAGGGUGAUCGGCCACACUGGGACUGAGACACGGCCCAGACUCCGACGGGAGGCAGCGGUAGGGAAUCUGCGGCAAUGGACUAAAGUCCGACCGAGCAACGCCGCGUGAGUGAAGAAGGUUUUCGGGUCGUAAAACUCUGUUGUUAGAGAAGCGGUAUCUAACCAGAAAGCCACGGCUAACUACGUGCCAGCAGCCGCGGUAAUUC
rnacentral:rRNA from 1 species